UACGGAGGGGCUAGCGUUGUUCGGAAUUACUGGGCGUAAAGCGCGCGUAGGCGGACCUGCAAGUCGGGGGUGAAAGCCCGAGGCUCAACCUCGGAACUGCCUUCGAUACUGCCGGGCUAGAGUCCGGAAGAGGCGAGUGGAAUUCCUGGUGUAGCGGUGGAAUGCGCAGAUAUCAGGAGGAACACCAACGGCGAAGGCAGCUCGCUGGGACGGUACUGACGCUGAGGCGCGAAAGCGUGGGGAGCGAACAGG
rnacentral:rRNA from 1 species